CACAAGACAUUAUCUCCUGUUUGCAGGAGGGGUCAAUUCCAUCUUGACUCACAACUGACUACGCAAGUACUUGACUGCACCCAGUGACCUUCCGUCACUGAAUUAGAAAUUCAGGUAGUCCGGUACCAAAGUACAGUGAGUUGCUUGCUAGUCACAGGUUGCGAUCUCAGGUCAGAGGGCCAAACUUAUACCUAUAUCCACUCGGAACAUCUCUUGACAGUAGGGCGUUCCGGAAUUGGUCACGUUCAGUGAAAUGU
rnacentral:lncRNA from 1 species